rnacentral:rRNA from 1 species
UCAUGCUCAGGACGAACGCUGGCUGCGUGCUUAACACAUGCAAGUCGAACGCUGAAGCCCUGGUGCUUGCACCGGGGUGGAUGAGUGGCGAACGGGUGAGUAACACGUGAGUAACCUGCCCCCGACUUCGGGAUAAGCCCGGGAAACUGGGUCUAAUACCGGAUAUGACGACCGAAGGCAUCUUUGGUUGUGGAAAGUUUUUUCGGUUGGGGAUGGGCUCGCGGCCUAUCAGUUUGUUGGUGAGGUAAUGGCUCACCAAGACGACGACGGGUAGCCGGCCUGAGAGGGCGACCGGCCACACUGGGACUGAGACACGGCCCAGACUCCUACGGGAGGCAGCAGUGGGGAAUAUUGCACAAUGGGGGAAACCCUGAUGCAGCGACGCAGCGUGCGGGAUGACGGCCUUCGGGUUGUAAACCGCUUUCAGCAGGGAAGAAGCCUUUCGGGGUGACGGUACCUGCAGAAGAAGUACCGGCUAACUACGUGCCAGCAGCCGCGGUAAUACGUAGGGUACAAGCGUUGUCCGGAAUUAUUGGGCGUAAAGAGCUCGUAGGUGGUUGGUCACGUCUGCUGUGGAAACGCAACGCUUAACGUUGCGCGUGCAGUGGGUACGGGCUGACUAGAGUGCAGUAGGGGAGUCUGGAAUUCCUGGUGUAGCGGUGAAAUGCGCAGAUAUCAGGAGGAACACCGGUGGCGAAGGCGGGACUCUGGGCUGUAACUGACACUGAGGAGCGAAAGCAUGGGGAGCGAACAGGAUUAGAUACCCUGGUAGUCCAUGCCGUAAACGUUGGGCACUAGGUGUGGGGGACAUUCCACGUUCUCCGCGCCGUAGCUAACGCAUUAAGUGCCCCGCCU